GGAAGUAAAAGUCGUAACAAGGUCUCCGUUGGUGAACCAGCGGAGGGAUCAUUAUCGAGUUUAUCCAACUCCCAACCCUAUGUGAACCUACCUUUAUGUUGCUUCGGCGGUCUCGCGCCGGGCUGCUCCCUUGGGGGCUCCCGGGACCACGCGUCCGCCGGAGACCACAAACUCUUGAUUUUGCGAAAGCAGUAUUAUUCUGAGUGGCCGAAAGGCAAAAAACAAAUGAAUCAAAACUUUCAACAACGGAUCUCUUGGUUCUGGCAUCGAUGAAGAACGCAGCGAAAUGCGAUAAGUAAUGUGAAUUGCAGAAUUCAGUGAAUCAUCGAAUCUUUGAACGCACAUUGCGCCCGCCAGCAUUCUGGCGGGCAUGCCUGUUCGAGCGUCAUUUCAACCCUCGAGCUCGUCUUCAUUGACGAGAUCGGUGUUGGGACCCGGCGAGCGAGGACUUCUGUCCUCUGCCGGCCCCGAAAUUCAGUGGCGGCCCGUUGCGGCGACCUCUGCGUAGUAACUCAACCUCGCACUGGGACAGCAUCGCGGCCACGCCGUAAAACCCCCGACUUUUUUAAGGUUGACCUCGAAUCAGGUAGGACUACCCGCUGAACUUAAGCAUAUC
rnacentral:rRNA from 1 species